UUUCUCUUAGAACAAUUUAAACAUCAUUUGUAGCACAGAUCUCUAAGAGGCAAAUUCUUUGAGCUUUUCUUUACUGUGGAUGAAUUUUCUUUCAUUUUCAAAGACAAAGGAAA